GACGAACGCUGGCGGCGUGCUUAACACAUGCAAGUCGAACGGAAAGGCCCUGCUUUUGUGGGGUGCUCGAGUGGCGAACGGGUGAGUAACACGUGAGUAACCUGCCCUUUACUUUGGGAUAACUUCAGGAAACUGGGGCUAAUACCGGAUAGGAGCGCCUGCUGCAUGGUGGGGGUUGGAAAGUUUCGGCGGUUGGGGGUGGACUCGCGGCUUAUCAGCUUGUUGGUGGGGUAGUGGCUUACCAAGGCUUUGACGGGUAGCCGGCCUGAGAGGGUGACCGGCCACAUUGGGACUGAGAUAGGGCCCAGACUCCUACGGGAGGCAGUAGUGGGGAAUAUUGCACAAUGGGCGGAAGUCUGAGGCAGCAACGCCGCGUGCGGGAUGACGGCCUUCGGGUUGUAAACCGCUUUCGCCUGUGACGAAGCGUGAGUGACGGUAAUGGGUAAAGAAGCACCGGCUAACUACGUG
rnacentral:rRNA from 1 species